GCCAGUCGUGGUGGCCCACGCCUGUAAUCUCAGCAGCUUGGGAGGCUGAGGCAGGAGGAUCACAAGCUUCUGGCUAGUCAGGCCAACUUAAGUGAAACCCUGUCUCAU
rnacentral:sRNA from 1 species